rnacentral:Y_RNA from 1 species
GGUUGGUCCGAGUACAGGUGUGUUUACAACUAUUUGAUCAUAACCAGUUACAGAUUCCUUUGUUCCUUCUCCACUCCCACUGCUUCAUUUGACCAGCCUUCA